rnacentral:rRNA from 1 species
CCAGACUCCUACGGGAGGCAGCAGUCGGGAAUAUUGCGCAAUGGAGGCAACUCUGACGCAGUGACGCCGCGUAUAGGAAGAAGGUUUUCGGAUUGUAAACUAUUGUCCUCAGGGAAGAAAAAAGACUGUACCUGAGAAGAAAGCUCCGGCUAACUACGUGCCAGCAGCCGCGGUAAUACGUAGGGAGCAAGCGUUAUCCGGAAUUAUUGGGUGUAAAGGGUGCGUAGGCGGUUCGUCGCGUCCGGUGUGAAAGUCCAUCGCUUAACGGUGGAUCCGCGCCGGGUACGGGCGGGCUUGAGUGCGGUAGGGGAGACUGGAAUUCCCGGUGUAACGGUGGAAUGUGUAGAUAUCGGGAAGAACACCAAUGGCGAAGGCAGGUCUCUGGGCCGUUACUGACGCUGAGGAGCGAAAGCGUGGGGAGCGAGCAGGAUUAGAUACCCUAGUA